ACCUAGUAGUACGGAAUAGCCAUUAGAAAUGGUGGGUAAUACUGUAUAAUCCCCGAGGGGGAAAGAUUUAUCGCUAUUAGAUGAGCCUACGUUAGAUUAGCUAGUUGGUGAGGUAAUGGCUUACCAAGGCUAUGAUCUAUAGCUGGUCUGAGAGGACGAUCAGCCACACUGGAACUGAGAUACGGUCCAGACUCCUACGGGAGGCAGCAGUGGGGAAUAUUGGACAAUGGGCGAAAGCCUGAUCCAGCUAUGCCGCGUGAGUGAAGAAGGCCUUCGGGUUGUAAAACUCUUUCAAUAGGGAAG
rnacentral:rRNA from 1 species